rfam:Pan troglodytes isolate Yerkes chimp pedigree #C0471 (Clint) chromosome 3, whole genome shotgun sequence.
CAAGUACUGGUCUCAGCAGAUUGAGGAGAGCACCACAGUGGUCACCACGCAGUCCGUGGAGGUUGGAGCUGC